rnacentral:rRNA from 1 species
UACGUAGGUGGCGAGCGUUAUCCGGAUUUAUUGGGUUUAAAGGGUGCGCAGGCGGCACGGCAAGCCGGCGGUCAAAUCGCGGGGCUCAACCCCGCCCAGCCGUCGGAACUGCCGGGCUAGAGUGGGCGAGAAGUGCGCGGAAUGCGUGGUGUAGCGGUGAAAUGCAUAGAUAUCACGCAGAACUCCGAUUGCGAAGGCAGCGCACCGGUGCCCUACUGACGCUCAGGCACGAAAGCGUGGGGAGCAAACAGG